rnacentral:rRNA from 1 species
GCUCAGUAACACGUGGAUAACAUGCCCUAGAGUGGAGGAUAAUCUCGGGAAAUUGAGGAUAAUACUCCAUAGAUCAUGAAUUCUGGAACGACUCAUGGUCGAAAAGUUCCGGCGCUCUAGGAUUGGUCUGCGGCCUAUCAGGUAGUAGUGGGUGUAACGGACCCACUAGCCGACGACGGGUAUGGGCCUUGAGAGAGGGAGCCCAGAGAUGGAAUCUGAGACACGAUUCCAGGCCCUACGGGGUGCAGCAGGCGCGAAACCUCCGCAAUGUGAGAAAUCGCGACGGGGGGAUCCCAAGUGCCAUUCUUAACGGGAUGGCUUUUCAUUAGUGUAAAGAGCUUUUGGAAUAAGAGCUGGGCAAGACCGGUGCCAGCCGCCGCGGUAACAC